rfam:Clostridiales bacterium 42_27 Ley3_66761_scaffold_14281, whole genome shotgun sequence.
GCUGCUGUGGCACAGGAGGUAGCGCACCUCAUUGGUAGUGAGGAGGUCACGGGUUCAACUCCCGUCAGCAGCU